AUCUAUCCUACCCUAUGCGAGUGUAGCCAUGGCCAACGCGAGUCAAACUGUAUCUGUUCUUAUCAGUUUAAGAUCUCAUACGGGAUGUAUUUGGACCCAUGACAUGUGGAAGUUGGCUGAUUGUGCGAAGCCUGCUUCACCUCCGCCGUGGGUCGGCCCGGUAUUGCACUACCUUCGAGAUCGCCCCAUCGUUC